rnacentral:lncRNA from 1 species
ACACUGGUUGUUAGGUUUCAACAUGUGCAUUUUGUAAGGACACAAAUAUUUAGACCACAAGGGGCUGGGGAUUUAGCUCAGCGGCACAGCACCUGCUUGGCAAGAGCAAGGUCUUGAAUUCGAUUCCCGGUACCCGGAAAAAAAAAACCAAAAACAACAAAACAAACAAACAAACAAAAAACCAAAUAUUUAGACCACACCAAUGUGCAAGGGCCCACUCCCUCUUGGGGUACACUCCAGGGAAUUAGGACUACCUCACAAGGUAGCACCUGAGUACACGUCACAGUCAAGGGUUAGUGUGUGCCCAUAGGGGAGGGCGUGGCAAACCUUUUAGCUGGCCACAUGCAACUCUCGGUCCCUGGAAGGAUGGCCGUACAUUCUGAAGAUGGAUACUCAGGCAGACGGGAGGAAGGACUCAGCCAGACGCCUCAGGGCACGGGUGUCGGAAAGGAGGUUGCUAUGAAGAACAAAACAAAAUGGAUUGCAUGUGUAGAGGUUUUGGUCGUUGCUGCUGUCGCCUGUGUUUAGCAAGGAAGCUCAGAGCACAGAGUGGUCGCUGCAGUGGCGGCUCUGCCUUCUCGCAGUCGAAGAGCGCUGCAAGCCGCCGUUUCUCUGCUCUUUCCGGCCUCAGCAUCCCGGGGCACA